AGUUAUGAUACUUACUAACAUAUUUAAUAACUGUUUAUAAAUGUGAAAAUUUAAUAAAAUUAAUCAUUUUUAAAUUUAUUUAAAUUAUAAAUCUAUUGUAAAAACAAUAAUAUAUAUGUAGAAUAAUAAAGUAUAAAUUAUAGUGAAGGAGAACUAUUUCCUGGUACAUCACGACGCCAUGACAUUUGUUUCACAGAUCCCCUUCGGAUCGUGAAACGAGUGUAGCGUGCUUCUGGUUCAUUGUGGUCAUUAGUAACGCGAUUUUAUCGAAAUAUAUAUUAUAUUUUCAAGUGAAAAUAGUGAAUAUUGUUUAAGAAUGGCUUAUCGUGAUCGUGAACGUGGUGAUAGAAGAGGAGGCGGAGCACGUGGAGGGGGCCGUUUUGGUGGUCGAGAUGGAAGUGGUGGGGGUAGUAGAUUUGGUAGCAGUUCAAAUAGAGAUGGUAAUAGCUUUGGUAACUUCAAAAAUCGACAACCUGGUGAACGUCUACGAAAACCAAGAUGGGACAUGGCCACAUUGCAACCAUUUAGGAAAGACUUUUAUCAGCCUCAUCCUAAUGUUACAACUCGAAGUCCACAUGUAGUUGAGGCUUAUCGUUCAGAUAAAGAGAUUACUGUAAAAGGUACAAAUGUACCAGGACCGAACAUAUUCUUUGAAGAAGGCGGAUUUCCAGAUUACGUUUUGAAUGAAAUCCGUAGACAAGGAUUUGGGGAACCAACUGCAAUACAAGCACAAGGCUGGCCCAUUGCUUUAUCUGGACGCGAUAUGGUUGGAAUUGCACAAACAGGAUCUGGAAAAACAUUAGCAUAUAUUUUACCAGCAAUUGUACAUAUAAAUCAUCAACCUAGAUUGAACAGAAACGAUGGACCUAUAGCUCUUAUUUUAGCACCUACACGAGAACUUGCACAACAGAUUCAGCAAGUUGCCUCAGAUUUUGGGAUUUCAUCGCAAGUAAGAAAUACUUGUAUUUUUGGUGGAGCUCCGAAAGGUCCUCAAGCUCGUGACCUUGAACGUGGUGUUGAAAUCUGUAUAGCAACACCUGGCCGUCUUAUCGAUUUUCUAGAACGUGGUACAACAAAUUUACGUAGGUGUACAUACUUAGUACUAGACGAAGCUGAUAGAAUGCUUGACAUGGGCUUUGAGCCACAAAUUAGGAAAAUUGUUGAACAAAUCCGACCUGAUCGACAAACCCUAAUGUGGUCUGCAACAUGGCCAAAGGAGGUUCGGAAUCUCGCAGAAGAAUUUUUAACCGAUUACAUACAAAUUAAUAUUGGCUCUUUACAACUGGCAGCUAAUCACAACAUCCUUCAAAUUGUUGAUGUAUGUGAAGAAUAUGAAAAAGAGGGUAAACUUAUGAAAUUGUUAGAAGAAAUUUCAAACGAGCCAGAAAAUAAGACAAUUAUUUUUGUUGAAACUAAAAGAAAAGUGGACGAUAUAACACGCGCAAUUAAUAGAUAUGGAUGGCAAGCGAUUGGCAUCCAUGGAGAUAAGAGUCAACAGGAAAGAGACUAUGUAUUAAAUCAAUUCCGGAAUAGCAGAUCUGCCAUACUAGUAGCUACAGAUGUUGCAGCAAGAGGAUUAGAGGCACAUGCGACGGAGUUUUAUCAAUGAUAAGAACUCUGGAGAGCUUGCUUUGGAAUAUAUAAUUGAAUGGGACGUGACUGCUGGUCUCUGUCCCCGCGCAACAAGCUAACCUAACGCUGUGCCUCGGCCCACCGUGCCACUUGAAAAAACACACUCUCACUCUGUACCUGCGACGGUCCAAAGUAUGGAAGUCAUAGUGUUAGGGCAUCUAGCAUACAAGGACUACUGAACAGGAUAGAUAUAUUUUACCACUCUCUUAGAUUAAAAGGAUAGGGAAUGGCAUUACAUUGUUUUGCAGUGGUUGUGAAAUUACAUUCCUCUGUAAAUGUCAACAAAGUUUGAUCUGUAUAUAUAUAUAUCCACGCGAACAAUCUAAUAGAAUUUUUAACAACUUGUUACAACAUUUUUACGAUAUAAUGGUAGACUUUCAUAAAAAUUUGUAAACUCUCAACAUUGCAAAACAAUCGUUGAUGUUACUCGUGCAAUGGAAUGCAUGUGGGGUUGAUCGGAAAGUGCACAUGGUGCUCGUCCAAUGUCCCAACCUCACCGAAGCAAUGCGCAAGGACCAAAUUUUGAAAGACCAGCACAGAUCCAUACUUUGGUGCGGGAGAGAAGGGUGUGAAGUCACUAAGAGUAAAUAUACAGCUCGCUAACGCAUAAUGCGAGAAUUCCAUGAGAACCAUCUGAGCUCUGAUUCCUCUACAUUUCCAAAAAUGUAUUUACGUUUCCAGCUUUUGGCAACAACAGAUGUGGAAGAUGUUAAGUUUGUGAUAAAUUUGGACUACCCGUCCAAUUCUGAAGACUAUGUACACCGUAUUGGACGUACAGGACGGUCACAGCGUACAGGAACUGCGUACGCAUUUUUCACGCCAGGAAACGCACAUAAGGCUAG